AGUUUGAUCCUGGCUCAGAACGAACGUUGGCGGCAUGGAUUAGGCAUGCAAGUCGAGGGAAUCCCAGCAAUGGGGGAACCGGCGUAAGGGGCAGUAAUGCAUGGGUACCUACCCCGGGGUUCGGGAGUAGCCACCAGAAAUGGUGGGUAAUACCGGAUGACCUCGUGAGAGCAAAGAUUUAUCGCCCCGGGAGGGCCCAUGUGAUAUUAGCUAGUUGGUGGGGUAACGGCUCACCAAGGCUCAGAUGUCUAGCGGGUGUGAGAGCACGACCCGCGCCACUCGCACUGAGACACUGGCGAGACACCUACGGGUGGCUGCAGUCGAGAAUCUUCGUCAAUGGGCGAAAGCUCAAACGAGCGAUGCCGCGUGCGCGAUGAAGGCCUUCGGGGUGUAAAGCGCGAAAGUGGUGAGAAAAGCCGUAAGGUCUUAUCGACCCACAGUAAGGUCGGGGUAAGGUCGUGCCAGCAGCCGCGGUAAGACGAACCGAGCGAACGGUGGUCGGAGUCACUGGGCGUAAAGGGCGCGUAGGGGGGGUG
rnacentral:rRNA from 1 species